AACCAGGUCCCACAUUUUAUCUUCUCUCUUAUCUCCACUCCCCUGACUUGCACCAUUAGACCUCACCAUGUAAAAACAAGGUCCCACAUUUUCUCUUCUCUCAUCUCCACUCCCUUCACAUGUACCAUUACACCACAGCACGUGCAAACCAGGUCCCACAUUUUAUCUUCUCUGUUAUCUCCACUCCCCUCACUUGUACCAUUACACCACAGCACGUACAAACCAGGUCCCACAUUUUAUCUUCUCUCGUAUCUCCACUCCCCUCACUUGUACCAUUACACUACAGCACGUACAAACCAGGUCCCACAUUUUAUCUUCUCUCGUAUCUCCACUCCCCUCACUUGUACCAUUACACCGCAGCAUGUACAAACCAGGUCCCACAUUUUAUCUUCUCUCAUCUCCACUCCCCUCACUUGUACCAUUACACCGCAGCAUGUACAAACCAGGUCCCACAUUUUAUAUUCUCUCGUAUCUCCACUCCCCUCACUUGUAACAUUACACAACAGAAUUUACAAACCAGGUCCCACAUUUUAUCUUCUCUCGUAUCUCCACUCCCCUCACUUGUACCCUUACACCACAGCACGUACAAACCAGGUCCCACAUUUUAUCUCCUCUGUUAUCUCCACUUCACUGACUUAUAUCAUUACACCACAGCAUGUACAAACCAGGUACCACAUUUUAUCUUCUCUCAUCUCCACUCCCCUCACUUGCACCAUUACACCACAGCAUGUACAAACCAGGUCCCACAUUUUAUCUUCUCUCUAAUCUCCACUCCCCUGACUUGCACCAUUACACCACAAAACGUACAAAUCAGGUCGCACAUUUUAUUUUCUGUCAUCUCCACUCCCCUCACUUGCACCAUUACACUGCAGCAUGUACAAACCAGGUCUCCAUUUUAUCUUCUCUCUUAUCUCCACCCCCCUGACUAGUACUAUUAAAUCACAGCACAUACAAACCAGGUACCACAUUUUAUCUUCUCUCAUCUCCACUCCCCUCACUUGCACCAUUACACCACAGCAUGUACAAACCAGGUCCCACAUUUUAUCUUCUCUCUAAUCUCCACUCCCCUGACUUGCACCAUUACACCACAAAACGUACAAAUCAGGUCGCACAUUUUAUUUUCUGUCAUCUCCACUCCCCUCACUUGCACCAUUACACUGCAGCAUGUACAAACCAGGUCUCCAUUUUAUCUUCUCUCUUAUCUCCACCCCCCUGACUAGUACCAUUAAAUCACAGCACAUACAAACCAGGUACCACAUUUUAUCUUCUCUCAUCUCCACUCCCCUGACU